UAAUACGAAGGUGGCAAGCGUUGUUCGGAUUCACUGGGCGUACAGGGAGCGUAGGCGGUUAGGUAAGCCCUCCGUGAAAUCUCCGGGCCUAACCCGGAAAGUGCAGAGGGGACUGCUUGGCUAGAGGAUGGGAGAGGAGCGCGGAAUUCCCGGUGUAGCGGUGAAAUGCGUAGAGAUCGGGAGGAAGGCCGGUGGCGAAGGCGGCGCUCUGGAACAUUUCUGACGCUGAGGCUCGAAAGCGUGGGGAGCAAACAGGAUUAGAUACCCUGGUAGUCCACGCCUUAAACUAUGGAUACUAAGUGUCGGCGGGUUACCGCCGGUGCCGCAGCUAACGCAGUAAGUAUCCCGCCUGGGAAGUACGGCCGCAAGGUUGAAACUUAAAUGAAUUGACGG
rnacentral:rRNA from 1 species